AUUACUUUGGCAGAUUAGUGCAAUGAGUUUAGAAUUCAUGUAUGUAAAAAUAUUUUUACAGGUAAUA
rnacentral:tRNA from 1 species